UACGUAGGGUGCGAGCGUUGUCCGGAAUUAUUGGGCGUAAAGAGCUCGUAGGCGGUCUGUCGCGUCGAAUGUGAAAACCCGGGGCUCAACUCCGGGCUUGCAUUCGAUACGGGCAGGCUAGAGUUCGGUAGGGGAGACUAGAAUUCCUGGUGUAGCGGUGGAAUGCGUAGAUAUCGGGAGGAACACCGGUGGCGAAGGCGGGUCUCUGGGCCGAUACUGACGCUGAGGAGCGAAAGCGUGGGGAGCGAACAGG
rnacentral:rRNA from 1 species